rnacentral:rRNA from 1 species
CCUACGGGUGGCUGCAGUGGGGAAUAUUGGGCAAUGGACGCAAGUCUGACCCAGCAACGCCGCGUGAAGGAAGAAGGCUUUCGGGUUGUAAACUUCUUUUAAGGGGGAAGAGCAGAAGACGGUACUCCUUGAAUAAGCCACGGCUAACUACGUGCCAGCAGCCGCGGUAAUACGGAGGUGGCAAGCGUUGUCCGGAUUUACUGGGUGUAAAGGGCGUGCAGGCGGAGAGACAAGACAGAUGUGAAAUCCACGGGCUCAACCCGUGAACUGCAUUUGAAACUGUGUCCCUUGAGUGUCGGAGAGGAAAUCGGAAUACCUAGUGUAGCGGUGAAAUGCGUAGAUAUAAGGAAGAACACCAGUGGCGAAGGCGGAUUACUGGACAAUAACUGACGGUGAGGCUCGAAAGCAUGGGGAGCAAACAGGAUUAGAUACCCGGGUAGUC